AAAAAUUAAAAAAAAAAUAAUAAUAAUAUUGAAGAGUGAAUAGUAGCGAAAGGGUUUCGAAGAAAAAUCGCCCAUAAAUUACUUAAUUGUGCACUUAAACGUAUAAAUUGCGAAACUGUAAAAUGACACCCUUGCAGUCGUAAAAUUUUUUCACAACAACAGCGUUAGAACACGUGAAAAGCUGACAAAAGGAAAAGCAUACGACUCAUCAUUGCGCCUGUAAAUAUACGCACAACAAAAAUAUU